UGCAGUCGAGCGACAGAUGAGAAGCUUGCUUCUCUGAUGUUAGCGGCGGACGGGUGAGUAACACGUGGGUAACCUACCUAUAAGACUGGGAUAACUCCGGGAAACCGGGGCUAAUACCGGAUAAUAUUUUGAACCGCAUGGUUCAAUAGUGAAAGACGGUUUCGGCUGUCACUUAUAGAUGGACCCGCGCCGUAUUAGCUAGUUGGUAAGGUAACGGCUUACCAAGGCGACGAUACGUAGCCGACCUGAGAGGGUGAUCGGCCACACUGGAACUGAGACACGGUCCAGACUCCUACGGGAGGCAGCAGUAGGGAAUCUUCCGCAAUGGGCGAAAGCCUGACGGAGCAACGCCGCGUGAGUGAUGAAGGUCUUCGGAUCGUAAAACUCUGUUGUUAGGGAAGAACAAAUUUGUUAGUAACUGAACAAGUCUUGACGGUACCUAACCAGAAAGCCACGGCUAACUACGUGCCAGCAGCCGCGGUAAUACGUAGGUGGCAAGCGUUAUCCGGAAUUAUUGGGCGUAAAGCGCGCGUAGGCGGUUUCUUAAGUCUGAUGUGAAAGCCCACGGCUCAACCGUGGAGGGUCAUUGGAAACUGGGAAACUUGAGUGCAGAAGAGGAGAGUGGAAUUCCAUGUGUAGCGGUGAAAUGCGCAGAGAUAUGGAGGAACACCAGUGGCGAAGGCGGCUCUCUGGUCUGUAACUGACGCUGAUGUGCGAAAGCGUGGGGAUCAAACAGGAUUAGAUACCCUGGUAGUCCACGCCGUAAACGAUGAGUGCUAAGUGUUAGGGGGUUUCCGCCCCUUAGUGCUGCAGCUAACGCAUUAAGCACUCCGCCUGGGGAGUACGACCGCAAGGUUGAAACUCAAAGGAAUUGACGGGGACCCGCACAAGCGGUGGAGCAUGUGGUUUAAUUCGAAGCAACGCGAAGAACCUUACCAAAUCUUGACAUCCUUUGACCGCUCUAGAGAUAGAGUCUUCCCCUUCGGGGGACAAAGUGACAGGUGGUGCAUGGGUUGUCGUCAGCUCGUGUCGUGAGAUUGUUGGGUUUAAGUCCCGCAACGAGCGCAACCCGUUUAAGCUUAGUUUGCCCAAUCAUUAAGUUUGGGCACUUUUAAGGUUGGAACUGCCGGUGACAAACCGGAGGAAGGUGGGGAUGACGUCAAAUCAUCAUGCCCCUUAUGAUUUGGGCUACACACGUGCUACAAUGGAUAAUACAAAGGGCAGCGAAUCCGCGAGGCCAAGCAAAUCCCAUAAAAUUAUUCUCAGUUCGGAUUGUAGUCUGCAACUCGACUACAUGAAGCUGGAAUCGCUAGUAAUCGUAGAUCAGCAUGCUACGGUGAAUACGUUCCCGGGUCUUGUACACACCGCCCGUCACACCACGAGAGUUUGUAACACCCGAAGCCGGUGGAGU
rnacentral:rRNA from 1 species